UACGGAGGGUGCAAGCGUUAUCCGGAUUUAUUGGGUUUAAAGGGUGCGCAGGCGGAAAAUUAAGUCAGUGGUGAAAGCCUACAGCUCAACUGUAGAACUGCCAUUGAUACUGGUUUUCUUGAAUAUAAUUGAAGUGGGCGGAAUGUGUCAUGUAGCGGUGAAAUGCAUAGAUAUGACACAGAACACCGAUAGCGAAGGCAGCUCACUAAGUUAUUAUUGACGCUCAGGCACGAAAGCGUGGGGAGCGAACAGG
rnacentral:misc_RNA from 1 species